rnacentral:misc_RNA from 1 species
AAUCAGAGAGAUUAGACGUACAUUUAUUCGUGUCACUUCGUGACAAAUAUCUUUGGUACUUUUAUAGGCAUUUUUUACCUUCAUAUUCACGCUAUCGUUAUUUUCACUUAAUUAUUGCAAUUAUUUGAUUUCGAAGGAAGCUUGAAAGUAUUAGAGAGAUGCUGCGAAAUUCGAAAGGACGGGAUGAAAGUCAAAAGGACGCCAUGGUGAUUAACAAUAAAUUUAAUAACUUUUCGUCGAAAUGAGAACAACAUCGAAGACAAUAUUCUUCACAUCUAAUCGAUUCAUUGUAAGAUCGACUAUAGAACAAUUAUAUUAUGUAUCCCACACAAUGUUCCAAACAAUUUCCCGUUCCUUCCCUUUAUGACAAUUUUUGUGUAGAUAGGUUUCUUUUAUAUGGGAUCCCUAUAAAUAGGCUUCCAAAUUUUUCUAGUUAGGACUCGUAGAAGAACAGUUGAGAAUUCUGAUACUUAGGAUAAAUUAAAGGACCUCUAGAUUUCUGAUGAGUAGGGUUUAAAGAGAUCUCUAGGUUCGUGAUAGGAAGGUUUCUACAUAUAAAGACCCUUUUAGACCCUCAUAGGUAGAGCUAAUACAAAAUUUUUUAUUUUAUUUUAAUCGAUUUAAAUUCAAGUUUGUUUCAGAAAUAUCUACAGAAAC